rnacentral:tRNA from 1 species
GCGCCCGUAGCUCAGAUGGAUAGAGUGUUGGUUUCCGAAGCCAAAGGUCACUGGUUCGACUCCAGUCGGGCGCACCA